rnacentral:tRNA from 1 species
GCGGAUAUACUCAAGUGGUUGAAGAGAUGUGUCUUGAAAACACGUAGGGGUGUAAAAGCCUGCGGGGGUUCGAAUCCUCCUAUCCGCG